CCCGCCACUGCACCUGCUCAAUUCUCAAUUGGCUGGUCAAUCCAGUGGUGAGCAAAUAAUAAACCCCAGCUGUUAGGAAACAGGGUUGUUCUUCAUGUGGAUGAUUCUGUGCUGAAAGCAUGGGGACAGUC
ensembl:snoRNA